UACGUAGGUGGCAAGCGUUGUCCGGAUUUACUGGGCGUAAAGAGCGCGCAGGCGGUCGAGUAAGUCGAAUGUGAAAGCCCCCGGCUUAACUGGGGAGGGUCAUUCGAUACUGUUCGACUUGAAGGCAGGAGAGGGCAGCAGAAUUCCCGGUGUAGUGGUGAAAUGCGUAGAUAUCGGGAGGAAUACCAGUGGCGAAGGCGGCUGCCUGGCCUGUUCUUGACGCUGAGGCGCGACAGCGUGGGGAGCAAACAGG
rnacentral:rRNA from 1 species